UACACGCGGUUGAGGUUGUGUCUGAAGCAAAAGGCUGCGUCCACCUGCGCCGGAAGCCAAGUUCUUCACGCUGUACACUAUGGUCGCUGGUUUGAAACCAACCUUUUCAUUAACGGUACCUCAAAUUGCCCAGAGGAAGGUCAUGGGAUGUGGCUGAAAGCUUUAGAACACACAAUGAUCUCAUGCAUGGAGGCUGCAGCAUCUUGGAGAAAAUGUCUCGCUGAAGUGCCCUCCACAGGUAUCUACUGGAUUUCACUCCAGUGAGGAUGCCCUGACACUGACACCCGCUGCCCAGGUGCAUGCACAGGAGAAAAAUACAAAUGCAGAUGGGGAGGACAGGUGGAAGAGGUAACAUCACCAAUAAAACAAAUAACAUAAAGGAUUAAGGAUAUCACAUUACCAGAAAUGUAGUAGUCAAUACCAAUGCCACGAUUAUCAAUACUGAAUUUGUUACCACAGUAAAA